CCUACGGGAGGCAGCAGUGAGGAAUAUUGGUCAAUGGCCGGGAGGCUGAACCAGCCAAGUCGCGUGAGGGAAGACGGCCCUACGGGUUGUAAACCUCUUUUGUCAGGGAGCAAGGUGCAGGUCGGGACCUGCUGUGAGAGUACCUGAAGAAAAAGCAUCGGCUAACUCCGUGCCAGCAGCCGCGGUAAUACGGAGGAUGCGAGCGUUAUCCGGAUUUAUUGGGUUAAAAGGGUGCGCAGGCGGAGGCACAAGUCAGCGGUAAAAUCGCGGGGCGCAACCCCGCGCCGCCGUUGAAACUGUGUGCCUUGAGUGCGCGAAGGGUAGGCGGAAUGCGUGGUGUAGCGGUGAAAUGCAUAGAUAUCACGCAGAACUCCGAUCGCGAAGGCAGCCUACCGGCGCGCAACUGACGCUCAUGCACGAAAGCGUGGGUAUCGAACAGGAUUAGAUACCCCUGUAGUC
rnacentral:rRNA from 1 species